UCUAAGAUGUUGACUUUUGUUCUUCCUUCUUUCACUAUCCAUAUCCAUGGCUAUUAUUAACUAACUGAUUUUGUCAUCCUGAAGGGGAAAUGAUCAAUGUGAAACACUAGGGCAAGAAAAUUACUGAACAAUUGUUCUGCAACGGUGGUGAAUCGAUGAUCAAGAAAGUUGUGGAAAACAAUUCUGAUGAAAGGAAAAUCAACUGGGGUGUUGGUGUCAGCAAUCAGGAAUCCUUUCGCCUUGAAAAGUCGUCACAAAAACGUGAAGUGCCAAAAAAUAGAGUUUUCAAAAUCAAUCAGAAGGGCAGUGCUAAUUCUGCAUUUGAGAGACAAUUGCCCAUUAUCAGAAAAAGAUCACGAGAAUUAGCCAAUGAAGAUCAACAACGCUUCAAGAAGGCGGCAAAAGGGAACACUAUCGUUAGGGUUUAAGUCCCUCCUGUUGCAAUAAUCAACAGAGAAUUGGAUAUUGAUUUCAAGAAUAAGAUUGGUGAAAUAAGGGGUUCACUUGAAUCAGUUAAAUUGGUGAUCGAAAAAAGACUAUUCAUGAGUGAUGUUCACUUGAAUUGGUUAAAUUUGCUAUUGUUGUGCUUUGGGUAAUUUAGUGCUUUGAAUAAUUUAGCUUCUGGUUUCACCCUCUUCGAUUUGAACAAAUUAGUUUUCUUAUUCGCAGUUUGUUCAAUUUUAUGCUAAUGGGUUGAGCAUUUGUGUUAUUUUUGAUUUAGGUAUAUUGAAGAAAGAUGUUGGAAGAACUCAUCACCGGUAGUUAGUGUAUGUAAUUAAUUUUUAUCUUCUUCUUUCUACUACUGCUUUGAAGAUUCCUUAUAUUUCUACCUUUUGAAUUUGGGAAAAAAUUUCCUGCUGCCUCUAGGAGGGAAAAAGUCGAGUUGGAUAACCCAAAUUGAAAGAUUUUAGACUUGGAAAGAAUUAGAACUGCCUUAAAGUUAUUCUUGUAUUACUUUGUUCCUCACAUGUCAUUUGGGGCUCCAAUCUAACCCAAGGUUCAAUCAUUAUACAAUGGAUUAAUAAUAUAAAAUUUUUUUUUGUAGUAGAAGGUAAUUGCAAAGUCUUGAUCCAGUCAUUAUACAAUGGAUUAAUAAUAUAAAAUUUUUAUUUGUAGUAGAAGGUAAUUGCGAAGUCUUGAUAGCUUCUCUAGCAUUCGAAUAUUUCCUUGAAGCAAGCUAAAUAGGCAAUGAUAUGCAAUGCAAGGAUAUUUAAAUUUUUUUAGAAAAAACCCCAAUCCAGAUGUUUAAAAUCAAACAAGUAUCAACAGUCUGUCUUCUCUGCUUCUGCUGGGGAAUCGUUCGGCGGGUUUUAUCAACAGAAGAAAAGAAGAGAUUUCUAGUUUUCUAUUGUGAUUGAUUUUCUUCACUUGACAUUUUUUAAGAUAAGAAACCACAUAGGAGAGCUAUUGAGCCAUCCAUGAGAAAACUCUAGCGUAAAGUAAGCCAGAAAACGGUAUGAUACUUCACGUUUGGAGUUUAUUUUGUUAGAUUCUGGCUUAUCAUAAUAAAUUUCAUUUUUCGUAUAUUUCAGCAGUUUGACCUUGCCUACGAUGAAUAACAGCUGAUAGAUAUAGUAGUUUGUAAAUCUCCAUUCCAGAUAGCUUCAGGCAGCGGUUAAAAACAUGUGAUAGUCUCAGUUAAACAGAAAUCUCUAAGCCCAUCCAACUGUGAUUUGGGCUCAAUAAUAUGGUAUAAGGUUUUUCUGACAUCAUUGUUAUUGUAUGACACUUUGAAAUUGCUGCUACUAGAGAUUAGUAACCACUGCAAGUGUAUAUCAGGUAUAAUGCUUUGAGAUAGUUUUGGACACCUUUAAAUAAUUUUAUAUCUUAGUACUAGCCUUUAUUUUAUUUGGAGUAGUAAGACAUUUCACCUCAUGCGAGAAUAGUUUGGAGAUGAUGGGGGGUUUGUCGUUGAACCCUACCUUGUAUAUUGAAUAUUAAAAGUUACAUAAAUAGAGGGGGGUGAAAGUCAUAAACCUGUGUAACAUAGAAGGUGAACAAGCUCACCUAUAACAAACCAAUAGGAUUCUGGAGUGCCCCUAUUUUUCACUAAGAAGGAGGAUAAAACAAAGGUACUUAAGCUUAACACUAGCUAUAUAUAGUAUAUACAUUGGUGAUAUACAAAAUAUGGGAGAUUUAAAGGGCAAAGUACCUUUCUACUAACACUGGUCCUAUAUAGCAUUUGCAAUGGUGCUAUACAAAUGAGAGAUUUAAAGAGCAAAGUGUCUUUCUACUAUGUGCACAACAAAUAAUAUUUUCUAUGUAUAGUGAUGAGAGAACUGAAUUUAGCCAUUAAAAAAGUUGGAUUUGUGUCACGAUCCAAAAAUGAGGGUUAUGAUAGCACUUGUCGUGGUGUAUCUUGACAAGUAAGCCUAUCACCCAAACUAAUACGAAAAGAGGAAAAGAUAGAAAUAUCCCAAAAUAAGGCUUUUAGAACGAAGUCGAAC
rnacentral:lncRNA from 1 species